rnacentral:rRNA from 1 species
CAGUAGCCACGGGAAUACGAAGGGGGCUAGCGUUGUUCGGAAUUACUGGGCGUAAAGCGCACGUAGGCGGAUCGAUCAGUCAGGGGCGAAAUCCCAGGGCUCAACCCUGGAACUGCCUUUGAUACUGUCGAUCUGGAGUAUGGAAGAGGUGAGUGGAAUUCCGAGUGUAGAGGUGAAAUUCGUAGAUAUUCGGAGGAACACCAGUGGCGAAGGCGGCUCACUGGUCCAUUACUGACGCUGAGGUGCGAAAGCGUGGGGAGCAAACAGGAUUAGAGACCCCCGUAGUCCCUGUCUCUUAUAC